CCUACGGGAGGCAGCAGUGGGGAAUAUUGGACAAUGGGCGCAAGCCUGAUCCAGCAAUGCCGCGUGAGUGAAGAAGGCCUUCGGGUUGUAAAGCUCUUUUGUCGGGGAAGAAACGGUGGGGGCUAAUAUCUCCUACUAAUGACGGUACCUGAAGAAUAAGCACCGGCUAACUACGUGCCAGCAGCCGCGGUAAUACGUAGGGUGCAAGCGUUAAUCGGAAUUACUGGGCGUAAAGCGUGCGCAGGCGGUUUUGUAAGUCUGUCGUGAAAGCCCCGGGCUCAACCUGGGAAUUGCGAUGGAGACUGCAAGGCUUGAAUCUGGCAGAGGGGGGUAGAAUUCCACGUGUAGCAGUGAAAUGCGUAGAGAUGUGGAGGAACACCGAUGGCGAAGGCAGCCCCCUGGGUCAAGAUUGACGCUCAUGCACGAAAGCGUGGGGAGCAAACAGGAUUAGGAUACCCUGGUAGUCCACGCCCUAAACGAUGUCUACUAGUUGUCGGGUUUUAAUUAACUUGGUAACGCAGCUAACGCGUGAAGUAGACCGCCUGGGGAGUACGGUCGCAAGAUUAAAACUCAAAGGAAUUGACGG
rnacentral:rRNA from 1 species